rnacentral:lncRNA from 1 species
AUAAUGUAGACUUUUAGACUAAUUUGAAUGCCCUUCUUCCUAUCUCUGCUGUUUACAGGUUGAGUGAUGGGGCAGAAUACUACUUUGCAGCACGUUCUCAGAAGCUGAUGGAUGAAUGGAUACAAGCACUUAGGAGUGAUAUAGGCCACAGUAACAGUUAUGGUUCUAAAUUGAUGGCGCAACCAGUCGCUCCAAAUACAGAGAGUCCUCAGACCAGACCUUGGAACUUCCCAGGUAGAGGGCCAGCUGAAAGACAAACCAGUAGAGGCUUACUACUCAGGAGAACUCCUUCUUUCAAAGUCAGGCAAGAGACAGAAUCUGCAAACAUUCCCAGGGAAUCAGAGGGAGACACACAUGGGAUUAUGAAGACACCAAGCUCCACCUCUGUCCAGAACCCUGCAGACAUGGGUAAUAAGAAACUCUGCCUUGAUCUGUGUGAAAAGCACAGUACUGAGAUUGAGAAAUCAUGUUUCAAAAUGUAGGAGGAGGAAACCUGCUAUGUCUUAAUCUCUCUGCUUU